rnacentral:lncRNA from 1 species
CCCCCAGCAACGGUGGCGGCGCAGAGAAGAGCACGGCGCCGGCGCAGGUGCAGAGAGACAGGAGGCUGAUGGGGGGAAGUUGAGGCACCUGGGGCAGAGAAAAAAAUGCAUCGCCAAGCGGUUUCUGGGUCAUCUACUGACGAAAAUGUCUUCCCAUCAGCCCUUGCGCUGGUCCCCAGGGACCCUGGCAUCCGUCGUUGGCGCCCAGGGUGCGCGUCGGGCCACUAGGGGUACCCCAACUCGGACAGAAGGCCCAUGAGUUGAAUUUGAAGUUUGUGGGAAUAGAGGUGAGGCACCAGGGGCAGAAAAAAAACAGGAGACCUCGCCUCAGACAAGCGGGGCCUGGGUCCCCCAUGGAUGAAAGUGCCUUCCCAUUAUGCUGUACCCUGGGCAGAGUGGACAGUGACGACCCUGGUUCGAGCCCAGGGUGCGCUUCGGGACCGCUUGCGGUACCAGAAAGCGAACAAAUGGUCCAUGAGCGGAAGGUGAGGCACCUGAAGCAGAGAAAGUAAAGAAACGCGCCGCCGAGAAGCAGUGCCUGGGUCCCUCACGGAGGAAAUUGUCUUCUCCUUAGCCCGUUCGCUUGGCACUGAGGUCCCUGGCGUCCCUGGUUUGAUCCCAGGGUACGCCUCGGGCCACUAGUGUUAGCCCAAGGUGGGCAGAAAGCCCAUAAGGGGAAGGCGAGGCACCUGGGGCAGAGAAAAAAAAAAACUUCGCUGCAGAGAAGAGCGGCCUGAUUCCCCACGGACGAAAGUGUCUUCCCAUCAGUCCCUGCACUGGGACCCGGGGACCCUGGUGUCCCUGGUUCGAGCUCAGGGUGUGCCUCAGCCGCUACGUGCACCCCAAGGGGAGCUUUGGGAGCACAAAGCCCAUGAGGGAAGGUGAGUUUUGAGGGAGGAGUGGUGAGGCACCUGUCACAGAAAAAGAAAAAAAAACAACCCGCGCCACGGAGAAGCAGGGCCUGGGUCCCCCACGAUGAAAAUGCCUUCCCAUCAGCUCCUGCUCUGGGCCCUGUGGACCCUGGAGACCCUGGUUCAAGCCACGGGUGGGCCUCGAGCCCGCUAGGGGUACCCCCGUGCGCCUCUCUGCGCCUGCG